rnacentral:rRNA from 1 species
UACGUAGGGGGCAAGCGUUGUCCGGAUUUAUUGGGCGUAAAGAGCGUGUAGGCGGCCAGGGAGGUCCGUUGUGAAAACUCGAGGCUCAACCUCGAGACGCCGAUGGAAACCCCCUGGCUAGAGUCCGGAAGAGGAGAAUGGAAUUCCUGGUGUAGCGGUGAAAUGCGCAGAGAUCGGCAGGAACACCCAGGGGGAAACCAGUGGACUGGGCAGGAGCUGACGCUCAGGUGCGAAAGCGUGGGGAGCGAACCGG